GUAGGGGGCAAGCGUUGUCCGGAUUUAUUGGGCGUAAAGAGCGUGUAGGCGGCCAGAUAGGUCUGUUGUGAAAACUCGAGGCUCAACCUCGAGACGCCGAUGGAAACCAUUUGGCUAGAGUCCGGAAGAGGAGAGUGGAAUUCCUGGUGUAGCGGUGAAAUGCGCAGAUAUCAGGAAGAACACCCGUGGCUAAGGCGGCUCUCUAGUACGGUACUGACGCUGAGACGCGAAAGCGUGGGGAGCGAACAGGAUUAGAUACCCUGGUAGUCCACGCCGUAAACGAUGGGUGCUAGGUGUGGGGGGUGUCGACUCCCUCCGUGCCGAAGCUAACGCAUUAAGCACCCCGCCUGGGGAGUACGGCCGCAAGGCUA
rnacentral:rRNA from 1 species